UACGUAGGGGCUAGCGUUGUCCGGAAUCAUUGGGCGUAAAGCGCGCGUAGGCGGCCCGGUAAGUCCGCUGUGAAAGCUCCGGGCUCAACCCGGAAACUGCCUUGAAACUAUCCGGCUAGAGGGUUGGAGGGAGACUGGAAUUCUCGGUGUAGCAGUGAAAUGCGUAGAUCUCGAGAGGAACACCAGUGGCGAAGGCGGGUCUCUGGACAACACCUGACGCUGAGGCACGAAGCCAGGGAGCAAACGG
rnacentral:rRNA from 1 species